UGGGGAAUAUUGGACAAUGGGCGAAAGCCUGAUCCAGCCAUGCCGCGUGUGUGAAGAAGGUCUUCGGAUUGUAAAGCACUUUAAGUUGGGAGGAAGGGCAUUAACCUAAUACGUUAGUGUUUUGACGUUACCGACAGAAUAAGCAACGGCUAAAUCUGUGCCAGCAGCCGCGGUAAUACAGAGGGUGCAAGCGUUAAUCGGAAUUACUGGGCGUAAAGCGCGCUUAGGUGGUUUGUUAAGUUGGAUGUGAAAUCCCCGGGCUCAACCUGGGAACUGCAUUCAAAACUGACUGACUAGAGUAUGGUAGAGGGUGGUGGAAUUUCCUGUGUAGCGGUGAAAUGCGUAGAUAUAGGAAGGAACACCAGUGGCGAAGGCGACCACCUGGACUAAUACUGACACUGAGGUGCGAAAGCGUGGGGAGCAAACA
rnacentral:rRNA from 1 species